UACGUAGGGUGCAAGCGUUAAUCGGAAUUACUGGGCGUAAAGCGUGCGCAGGCGGCUUUGCAAGACAGAUGUGAAAUCCCCGGGCUCAACCUGGGAACUGCAUUUGUGACUGCAUGGCUGGAGUGCGGCAGAGGGGGAUGGAAUUCCGCGUGUAGCAGUGAAAUGCGUAGAUGUGCGGAGGAACACCGAUGGCGAAGGCAAUCCCCUGGGCCUGCACUGACGCUCAUGCACGAAAGCGUGGGGAGCAAACAGG
rnacentral:rRNA from 1 species